ACUUGGAACACAUUACCAAAAGUCAUUCCGACGUAAACACUCAACCGGUGAGGGUGAGAGGCAACAAAAAAAAUACUCGUGAUCCAAAAAAUAUUCCUGUCAAAAUUCGCAAAAUUCCAGGACCAGUCAGAAAGGCAAAACACCUGAUCGGUUACAGAUUUUGGAAGCAAAAAAAGUAAGCCAACAAACCAAGAACAACCAGCAUCAUCAGCAUCGCCCGACAGCAAAGCGGAACCGCCAAUAAGAGAACAAUAAUCCACCCGAACCCGAGGAGCGGUCCGGAGCAUAAAUUAAAGUCUCACUUCCGGUGUGCCAUUUUAUUGUCACGAUUUGGACAUAUCGAAAAUCGCACCCCCUCGGCAUCUGAGUCCGGAUGCAAUUGGAUUUUUCCUGUGGCCAUUGGUUCGUGGUUAAAGUGCAAGGGUUUCGGUGAAACCAAACGGAAAAUCCCUUCCAGCUUUCCGAGGCAGCGAGCGGUGAAAACAAUAAUCGUUUGUGUGUCGGGAAACAAACGUAUUGAGUGCGGCAUAGCUUUUUAACUUUGACAAUAAAUACUCUGCUGCAAGCAAUUUUGGCAAUUUCGGCGUCACGAUGAUGGAUCAUGCGAUUAUCUCCCGCUACAGUGACGUUCGGGUGAAGAUUUCCGGCUGGGAUGAGCGAGUUCAGCAGUUUCCCCGAGAUUGUCCCCAUUGUUCUGUUGGGAGGGCGACAUAUCGCACCUUUGGGUACACCACCAAGCAUUACAUCCCACGCACUACGACCCAGGCCAUGUACGAUGACGUUUGGAUCUGUCCGCAUGCACGAAGCCGCUUCCAGCCACGACCAGAUUGCCCAACUUAUCGAUCAACCUAUCAGGUGGAUUACGGCAAUCAGUGUUCUCCGUGCUGUUAGAAGAAGAUUGUAACAUUAAUGAAAUGUUUGAAAGGAUAUGAGCAAGAAUGACUUGAAUGGACUCGAAAGUUGAUUUCAGCAAACAUUUCCCUUAAUUGAAGAGCCUGCAAGAAAUAAUACAUAAGCUUCGUAUGACGAAGUGUUAUAGAAAAGUCAAUUGUAUCAUCGUUAUCGUCAGAUAGUGUUUAAUAUUGGAGUUUUGCGUGCCUUCUUUUUCUAGAAAAAAUAAAUUCUUUCCUAGUGCUCAAAAUACAGUAUUGACUUUUUGCUUCUGAUAAAAUGUAAGAAUGCUAGCACAAAUAAACCUGUUUCAACGCUAUGUAGCAAUAAAACGUCUGAAAA